AGUGGAACUGAGGGUAUCUUACUGGAGAUUGCUGUCUACUAGAGAUGUUUUAAGGUGCAACCAUAUUAUUCAAGAGGAAUGAAGAACAGUAGCUGAUACAUCAGAUACAGAUUCAGCACACACUGCAAUAACUGAUACUCUGUAAGAAAGAAAUUACAAUACUGGUUUGAGAAAUGUCCCUACUGUUGUGUUAUAAAGAAUCGAGGAACUACUGAUGAAUUCAAAGAAUUAGGAAGAACAAAGCACUACAAUAUAUUUUCAGUUAUUUUUAGAAAUAGCAGUCUGUGUACCCCUGUGGAAAAAUGCAUUUAAUUGUAAUAUAAAUCUAAGAUAACAAGACUCUCUCAUUUCUGACAUAAUUUCCAUAUACUGUAUAGGCCUGCUUUUGUUUCAGAGAAAAUAGGAAUUGAGAAAUAACAUUAUUUUCUUUUAUUUUUUUCUAGUAAGGCAACUAAAAGCAAGAACCCUUGCUGUUUGUGAUGUGAUUUUUUUUUUUUUUUCCCCAAAAGUCUCCAUUGUUAUUAUGUGUUGUUAAAAUGUUUAGAUAAUACAUUCAAAUAAUCAGUGAAUGGCUUGAGUUGCAUGGACCUUAAAUAUCAUCUAGUUCUAACCUUCC
ensembl:lncRNA